ensembl:sense_intronic Gm11753 predicted gene 11753
GGUACAAGAGCAGAGACCUCAAAGUCUAGCUCCUCCCACGCCCACCCCAGCAGCCAGGGAGCCCUGCACUAUGUUCAGGCAACUCUACCUUCCAAGUUGGUGAUGCUUGCUGAACCCUCUCUGAGAACCGAGAACAAUCCAGAAUACUGCUUUCUGAGGUGAAAGCCAUGCUUCCACCAUGGUGGCUCUGCCUUUGUCAAAGAUGUCAGAGGACAUGGUGGGGGUGCAACCCGCAUGGUGACGCUGACGAUGAGGGCUGAGGACUUUGCUCCUGUGCUCUCUGCUCCUGUUGGGUUUCUGUUUCAGCGAUGAUCACAGACUGUCCGGCGUUGAUGGAGCAAUAUUGACUUGGCUAUGAAGACCGUUACGUCUGAUUGUCCUAGAAAUAAAAUCUGGCAACCAUGAACAAAA